GACGUAGGGCGCGAGCGUUGUCCGGAUUUAUUGGGCGUAAAGAGCUCGUAGGCGGCUCGUUGCGUCGGCUGUGAAAACCCGCAGCUCAACUGUGGGCUUGCAGCUGAUACGGGCGGGCUGGGGUUCGGUAGGGGAGACUGGAAUUCCUGGUGUAGCGGUGAAAUGCGCAGAUAUCAGGAGGAACACCAAUGGCGAAGGCAGCUCGCUGGAACGGUACUGACGCUGAGGCGCGAAAGCGUGGGGAGCGAACAGG
rnacentral:rRNA from 1 species